GUCCUGGCAGUAAACGGUGCACGCUUGGUGUGGGCGAAAUCGACCUCGUCCGUGCCGGAGCUAACGCGUUAAGCGUGCCGCCUGGGAAGUACGGUCGCAAGAUUAAAACUCAAAGAAAUUGACGGGGACCCGCACAAGCGGUGGAGUAUGUGGCUUAAUUCGAUGCAACGCGAAGAACCUUACCUGGGCUUGACAUGCAUUCUGUCAUCGGUGAAAGCCGGUUAGUGGAGCAAUCCACGGUUUGCACAGGAGUUGCAUGGCUGUCGU
rnacentral:rRNA from 1 species